rnacentral:lncRNA from 1 species
GGGAAUUUAGUUGGGAUCGCGGCUGUUGGUGGCCACCAUCAUGAGCUCUGGGGAAGGAGCUGAUGAGACGUCAAAGGACGCAGCCGAUAUAGCGGCGUUCUUUAAAUCUGACGGUUCCCUCCAAAAAGAGCCCAAAGGAGACUUGUCCAGUCAGCUACCAGGUCAUUGAGGGUAACCCUGGCCUGUCUCAGUCAGUUAGUCUACCCUGUUAUUAGAGGUCUGGGUGGAUGGAGAGAACGACACAGGGGGAGAUGGAGAGAUUCAGCUGGCACACACACAUUCUGGGGAAAAUGGGAUGAUCAGAGGGAGAGAGAAGGAAUAGGGGAGAAAAGAGUUAGAAGAGAGCGAGAGCCAAGCAGGGAAAAGAGAGAGAGAGAGAGGUGGAUAGACAGAUGGAAAGAAAGACGGAUUUGAAAUCUAUUAUCAAUGCUGUUCACUAGCUACAGGGCAAUUUUUGAAAGUGUGUGUGUGUCAGCUGUACCCACAGUGAGGGCAUUGUUAGAGUGCCACAGCUGUGGCUGAUCAGCCUGGCCAUCAGCCAAUAAGAUCGCCCCCUCAGUCUCCGGAACCAAUAGGAUCACCCCUUCUGUUUUAGCGACCAAUCAAAUCUUCUCCGUGGGGCAACAAGACGAAGAUAGGGAGAGAGAGAAAGAAAAAGAGAGUGUGAGAGUGCAUUGGGUCUAGUAAAUAAUUACUAGCAACAAUCUGGUCGAUGAACAAGUAGAGAGAACGGUGG